rnacentral:rRNA from 1 species
GAUGAACGCUAGCGGCAGGCUUAACACAUGCAAGUCGAGGGGUAGAAGCAGCUUGCUGCUUUGAGACCGGCGCACGGGUGCGUAACGCGUAUGCAAUCUACCUUUUACAGAGGGAUAGCCCAGAGAAAUUUGGAUUAAUACCUCAUAGUAUGUGAGAAUCGCAUGGUUUUCACAUUAAAGUUCCAACGGUAAAAGAUGAGCAUGCGUCCCAUUAGCUAGAUGGUAAGGUAACGGCUUACCAUGGCGACGAUGGGUAGGGGUCCUGAGAGGGAGAUCCCCCACACUGGUACUGAGACACGGACCAGACUCCUACGGGAGGCAGCAGUGAGGAAUAUUGGACAAUGGUCGGAAGACUGAUCCAGCCAUGCCGCGUGAAGGAUGAAGGCGCUCAGCGUUGUAAACUCUUUUGUACGGGAGAAACAGCAGCUCUAACACAGUCUGCGAAUGACGGUACCUGAAGAAUAAGC